rnacentral:misc_RNA from 1 species
AAUUCUCAACCCUCUUCACUUUUUUGUGAAGCUAGGGCUUGGACUUGGAGGCUUUGCCGGCUCUGCUCGGCUCCUCUCAAAUGCAUUAGUGCGUCUUGUUGCGACGUGCGCCUCGGUGUGAUAAUUAUCUACGCUGUGGUGUGCUUGCUUCUGUGGAGACGCGCUUUCAAACCGUCCGAAAGGACAACUUUCAUCGAA